rnacentral:rRNA from 1 species
AGAUGUUGGGUUAAGUCCCGUUAACGAGCGCAACCCUUGUCCUUAGUUACCAGCACGUUAUGGUGGGCACGUCUAAGGAGACUGCCGGUGACAAACCGGAGGAAGGUGGGGAUGACGUCAAGUCAUCAUGGCCCUUACGGCCUGGGCUACACACGUGCUACAAUGGUCGGUACAAAGGGUUGCCAAGCCGCGAGGUGGAGCUAAUCCCAUAAAACCGAUCGUAGUCCGGAUCGCAGUCUGCAACUCGACUGCGUGAAGUCGGAAUCGCUAGUAAUCGUGAAAUCAGAAUGUCACGGUGAAUACGUUCCCGGGCCUU